rnacentral:rRNA from 1 species
GAUGAACGCUGGCGGCGUGCCUAAUACAUGCAAGUCGAGCGAACGGACGAGAAGCUUGCUUUUCUGAUGUUAGCGGCGGACGGGUGAGUAACACGUGGAUAACCUACCUAUAAGACUGGGAUAACUUCGGGAAACCGGAGCUAAUACCGGAUAAUAUUUUGAACCGCAUGGUUCAAAAGUGAAAGACGGUCUUGCUGUCGCUUAUAGAUGGAUCCGCGCUGCAUUAGCUAGUUGGUAAGGUAACGGCUUACCAAGGCAACGAUGCAUAGCCGACCUGAGAGGGUGAUCGGCCACACUGGAACUGAGACACGGUCCAGACUCCUACGGGAGGCAGCAGUAGGGAAUCUUCCGCAAUGGGCGAAAGCCUGACGGAGCAACGCCGCGUGAGUGAUGAAGGUCUUCGGAUCGUAAAACUCUGUUAUUAGGGAAGAACAUAUGUGUAAGUAACUGUGCACAUCUUGACGGUACCUAAUCGGAAAGCCACGGCUAACUACGUG